rnacentral:rRNA from 1 species
UCAGGACGAACGCUGGCGGCGUGCUUAACACAUGCAAGUCGAACGAUGAAGGAGGAGCUUGCUCCUCCGGAUUAGUGGCGAACGGGUGAGUAAUACGUGAGCAAUGUGCCCUUGACUCUGGGAUAAGCGCUGGAAACGGCGUCUAAUACCGGAUACGACCCUCGGAGGCAUCUCCUGAUGGUGGAAAGAACUUCGGUCAAGGAUCAGCUCACGGCCUAUCAGCUAGUUGGUGAGGUAACGGCUCACCAAGGCGACGACGGGUAGCCGGCCUGAGAGGGUGACCGGCCACACUGGGACUGAGACACGGCCCAGACUCCUACGGGAGGCAGCAGUGGGGAAUAUUGCACAAUGGGCGCAAGCCUGAUGCAGCAACGCCGCGUGAGGGACGACGGCCUUCGGGUUGUAAACCUCUUUAGCAGGGAAGAAGCGAAAGUGAC